rnacentral:lncRNA from 1 species
GAAAGCCUACGAACCGCUUCAAGAUCAGACAACCAUAGGGCUGAUUUUUUGUUAUUAUUGUAGUGCAAUAUGUUGAGUCUGGAUCAUCCCGCAAUUUCAUUUACAUCACUAAAUCAGAUAUGAUAAAAGUACUAACUAACAUUAAUACUAAAAUGAGUAAAGUGCUACUAGUAUAUUUAUAUCAACAAACUGACAAUUUUAAUAUAAAACAUCACAAGGAAAAAAUGACCACUCAUUGUACGUCAAACUGUGUAUGAUUUUACUUUAGUCGGCCGCCGUGUAUCUUGAGAUAUCUUAUUAAUCAAACAAC